rnacentral:rRNA from 1 species
AAGACCUUGCGCUUUUGGAGCGGCCGAUGCCUGAUUAGCUUGUUGGUAAGGUAAAAGCUUACCAAGGCUUCGAUCAGUAGCUGGUCUGAGAGGACGGCCAGCCACACUGGGACUGAGACACGGCCCAGACUCCUACGGGAGGCAGCAGUGGGGAAUUUUGGACAAUGGGGGCAACCCUGAUCCAGCCAUGCCGCGUGAGUGAAGAAGGCCUUCGGGUUGUAAAGCUCUUUCAGCCGGAACGAAACGGUUACGGUUAAUACCCGUGACUACUGACGGUACCGGAAGGAGAAGCACCGGCUAACUACGUGCCAGCAGCCGCGGUAAUACGUAGGGUGCGAGCGUUAAUCGGAAUUACUGGGCGUAAAGCGUGCGCAGGUGGUUUUGUAAGUCAAAUGUGAAAGCCCCGGGCUCAACCUGGAAACU